rnacentral:miRNA from 1 species
UAAUACUGUCAGGUAAAGAUGUG